UCCUCGGCUGGCUAUAAAUACAUGGUUUCCUUCCCAUAAUUGCAGCCCCGACAGGCUUGUUUGGAUGCAGGGAGGAAUAGGAAAUGCCAGAGAGAAAGAAAGAGUGCGCCUCUCUUGCUGUGUCUCACCACUGUGAGGGAGAGCGGGUGGUCCACACGUCUGUCUGACUCCCAGCUGCUCCGGUCAGCGUGUCGACGUGUCCUUGGGAAAGACACAGAAUACAGUGAGCACCUAACUGCCCCUGCUGUCGGUGAUCCAUCAGUGUGUGAGUGGGCUGUGUUAGUGAAAGACAAAGCACUAGAAAAACGGGCUUUUCCAUCACAAGGGGGCAAGGAGAGUUCUCUCAGGUUUUCCCCCGUCUAAUGAAGAGCCGAAGAAAAAAACAAAAAACAGCGUCCAGGGUGUGGUGCAGGAGUCAGAGAACCAGAAACACAUUGACAUCUGCACGUUCACUGCAAAUCAAUUCAUGCAACAUAACUCGUGCUCCAUUGUCACGAUGGAGCCUGAGCAUGAGCAUCUUUUAAAAAACUGUUUAACAUAGAUAUUUUUUUUAAUAUUUAUUCGUGUUAAGUUAAGUAUUGACAAGUUAAUAAUUCAAAUAUGAUAAUAUUGUGUAAAUA